UGGGGGAUAUUGCACAAUGGGCGAAAGCCUGAUGCAGCGACGCCGCGUGGGGGAUGAAGGCUUUCGGGUUGUAAACCUCUUUCGCUAUCGAACAAGGCCCGCUUAGGGUGGGUUGAGGGUAGGUGGAGAAGAAGCGCCGGCUAACUACGUGCCAGCAGCCGCGGUAAUACGUAGGGCGCGAGCGUUGUCCGGAAUUAUUGGGCGUAAAGGGCUUGUAGGCGGCUUGUUGCGCCUGCUGUGAAAACGCGGGGCUUAACUUCGCGCGUGCAGUGGGUACGGGCAGGCUUGAGUGUGGUAUGGGUGACUGGAAUUCCAGGUGUAGCGGUGGAAUGCUCAGAUAUCUGGAGGAACACCGAUGGCGAAGGCAGGUCACUGGGCCAUUACUGACGCUGAGGAGCGAAAGCAUGGGUAGCGAACAGG
rnacentral:rRNA from 1 species